CUUCCUGCGGCUGCUUCUUUACCGAGCAAAGAGUUCUCUCUACGAAAAAAUGGUGAAAGCUAAGCCUUUGAAUCCGAGAAGACUCAAUCACUAAUCAUCAUCAUUACGUAUCUCAUCCAUCAUCAUCUUCUACAACUCGUCUCUUGUUGUCAAUCACACUCAUAAGAAGAAUCCCUUUUGUCUGACUUCGUUAAACUCUAAUGGCUAAUUUCCUACUGAUGGCUUCUGACGAUAACAAUGAGACAGAGAGUGAAGAACUUGAAAGCACAGACUUACGGCAGUUCACACGGCGGAACCAGCUAGAAACGAUCGCUGGUUGCUAACAAAAAAAAACCCUAGAUUUAGAUGGAUUUGGGCUUUGUUAGUGUAAUUUGGUUUGGGCUUGGGAUUUUAUUAGGUUUGGCCUUUUAAUUUUGUCAAUUGGGUUGUUGUAAUUGGGUUUUUGCCAUGCAAAUAUUUUUUGGUAUAAGAAGUAAACCUAACAAAAAACCGAAUAAACUGAAUAAGAUAAAAUCCGGUUCAUCUU